CUUUUCUUUUUUUUACAAAGACACUUAACUAAUUUCUUUAUUCAAAAUAGGAUCAGUACAAGCCAGAGAAAUCUCAAAAUACGGUGACGAGUAUUUAGCUACCUAGUCAGUGUACUACAAUAAUAUGCAAGCCAAAUCCUUGUUCUAGAUUCAAGAAAUUUUAUAAUAUAAAACCCGGAGAUGACUAAGCAAAAGAAGAAUAGAAUGAAAAAGGACUUUUGAUGAAAAAGUGGAAAUAAUUUAGAGUGAAAUAUGGCGGGAUUCCAUUUGCUGUUCCUUCUCGUUUGCUUGCGCGCGAGGCUCGUGAUAUUACCUAGAAAGUUUCAAGUGUUAUUUUGUCGGACAAACAACCAUUUUAGUCCUUCAAUUAGAGUUGUACAAUCGGUUAGCCCAACUUGGGCCAGACAAAAUAGAUGAGCCAGAUCGAAUUCAAGAUAAUUUGGGAUUUGAGUGAAAAGUUUAUUUAGAUUUGGGGUUUUAGGGUUGUUGAUAAUUUGGAAUUUUAAUUUUUAAUAAGAUGAAUCUUCUUUGUUUGUUUAAGAAAGAAGAUGA